AUUCAAUUGAUUGCUCAGAGCGAUAAGGGCUUAAAAUAUAUGACUGUGAGAGAGAGUUUGGAAGGAGAAGGAAGAAUGAAUGGGAGAAGAAGAAGGUCCGAGUCACUAAGUCACUGUGUCAGGUGCGUAACGUGGCGCUCUGGAAAAACCUGGACGGCUGUUGCGUUGCAGUGAUUUUGUCAUAAGCAAUAGGCCGCGUAUAAGUGGCAGUAAAUACAAAAUUACUAAAAUAAAAAUUGAUUAAUUUGAAAAAAAAAUAGUUAUAUAGGUUGAAAAUGAAUAUUUUCAAGUAUUUGGGUGCAAAUUUUAAGGUGGCGUUGGUUUGAAGAAAUGAUUGGAGAGGAAAUAAAAGAAGAGGAGUAGAGAAGAGGGGGUGAGGGAAUUUCAGUUUUUGUUGUUUGGUUUGGCAAGGAAUUCAAAAUGAAAAGGGAAAGAUUUUUUUUUUUUGGAUAAUUUUACCCUUUGUGUUAAUAUUUUAAUAUUUUUUAUUAAGUAAAAAAUAAAAUAAAAUAAAAUAAAAUUACAAAAUAAGGAAAAAGACCAACUUACAACUCAAUUAUUUUAUUUAGAAUUUGAAAUUUUUGUGGAAAAAUAUCAAAUUAUAAAUUACAACUCAAUUAUUUUAUUUAGAAUUUGAAAUUUUUGUGGAAAAAUAUCAAAUUAUAAAUUAAUUUAAUAUAAAAAUAGAAAACUAAAACAAGUAAAAUUGAAAGAAAAUUUAUUAUGAAUUGAUUUGAUCUUUGUUAAUUUUCUGCAUUUAUAGUUUGCAAAUAAAAGUAUAAAGAAAUAUAUAUCAUAUAGAAGAUAAUCUUUGUCCAAUAACGAAAUUAUGAUUUUCUUCUUCAAUUGCUUUUAUCAUUAUUUUUUCAAAAAAAAUUAAUUAAUAAAAUAUUGAAAACGGGAAAAAUAUAACAAAGGCACUUAAAAUAAUAGUAAAAAGUUUAAUACUUGGAUUUCAUUCUCAGAACACGAUUGUAUAGAGUCUCGUCUUUAAAAGGAAUGGCUUCUUUGGAUCCAAAGUAAUAACUACUAAGUGGGUAGAUGUCAACAACGUAACCGUUGCGAUCGCUGCCGUUAAUUGGCACUGAAGCGCCCAUUUCAUCUGACAUAUUCACUUCAAAUUCAAUUGAUUGCUCAGAGCGAUAAGGGCUUAAAAUAUAUGACUGUGAGAGAGAGUUUGGAAGGAGAAGGAAGAAUGAAUGGGAGAAGAAGAAGGUCCGAGUCACUAAGUCACUGUGUCAGGUGCGUAACGUGGCGCUCUGGAAAAACCUGGACGGCUGUUGCGUUGCAGUGAUUUUGUCAUAAGCAAUAGGCCGCGUAUAAGUGGCAGUAAAUACAAAAUUACUAAAAUAAAAAUUGAUUAAUUUGAAAAAAAAAUAGUUAUAUA
rnacentral:lncRNA from 1 species